ACGUCAUCCGCCGCCGUUUCGCUGCUCUCCUCAGAUCACCUCCCGGCCGCGCUCGCCCCGCCCCGCCCCGCCCGGCCCGGCGGGCGGCGAGACCCCUCCCCGGCCCCGCCGAGCGGAAAGAGCCAAGGGAACCGGCGGAGACAGAAGGCGGAGCGAGCCGGUCAGGCCGAGCGCGCAAGUUUCCUGUGACCAUCUUGACUGGUGUGGCCUUGUGAGCAAAGAAAUUAAAGACAAUCCAGACCAAUUCAGGAUUUAGCAAGAGCUGGAAGAACUGGUUGGGGCUCCAGCAGCUGUGUUCAUCAAGAGGCAGCACCUCUGUAUGUGCAGGAGGGCAGGUCCCAGGUGACUGGAGGCUUGCCAACAUGGUGCCCAUCCUCAAGAAGGCCUGGAAGGAGGAUGUGGGGAGCUACAGGCCUGUCAGCCUGACCUUGGUGCCCAGAAAAGUUAUGGAGCAGUUCAUCUUACGUGCGCUCACAUGGCAGUGCAGGACAGUCAGGGGAUCAGGCCCAGCCAGCAUGGGUUCAGGAGAGGUAAGUCCUGCUUGACCAACUUGAU